rnacentral:rRNA from 1 species
ACCAGUACCGUGAGGGAAAGGCGAAAAGAACCCCGGCGAGGGGAGUGAAAAAGAACCUGAAACCGUGUACGUACAAGCAGUGGGAGCACCCUUUGGGUGUGACUGCGUACCUUUUGUAUAAUGGGUCAGCGACUUAUAUUCUGUAGCAAGGUUAACCGAAUAGGGGAGCCGGAGGGAAACCGAGUCUUAAUUGGGCGUUAAGUUGCAGGGUAUAGACCCGAAACCCGGUGAUCUAGCCAUGGGCAGGUUGAAGGUUGGGUAACACUAACUGGAGGACCGAACCGACUAAUGUUGAAAAAUUAGCGGAUGACCUGUGGCUGGGGGUGAAAGGCCAAUCAAACCGGGAGAUAGCUGGUUCUCCCCGAAAGCUAUUUAGGUAGCGCCUCGUGAAUUCAUCUCCGGGGGUAGAGCACUGUUUCGGCUAGGGGGCCAUCCCGGCUUACCAACCCGAUGCAAACUGCGAAUACCGGAGAAUGUUAUCACGGGAGACACACGGCGGGUGCUAACGUCCGUCGUGAAGAGGGAAACAACCCAGACCGCCAGCUAAGGUCCCAAAGUCAUGGUUAAGUGGGAAACGAUGUGGGAAGGCCCAGACAGCCAGGAUGUUGGCUUAGAAGCAGCCAUCAUUUAAAGAAAGCGUAAUAGCUCACUGGUCGAGUCGGCCUGCGCGGAAGAUGUAACGGGGCUAAACCAUGCACCGAAGCUGCGGCAGCGACACUGUGUGUUGUUGGGUAGGGGAGCGUUCUGUAAGCCUGUGAAGGUGUGUCGUGAGGCAUGCUGGAGGUAUCAGAAGUGCGAAUGCUGACAUAAGUAACGAUAAAGCGGGUGAAAAGCCCGCUCGCCGGAAGACCAAGGGUUCCUGUCCAACGUUAAUCGGGGCAGGGUGAGUCGACCCCUAAGGCGAGGCCGAAAGGCGUAGUCGAUGGGAAACGGGUUAAUAUUCCCGUACUUGGUGUUACUGCGAAGGGGGGACGGAGAAGGCUAUGUUGGCCGGGCGACGGUUGUCCCGGUUUAAGCGUGUAGGUGUGUGUUCCAGGUAAAUCCGGUUCACUUUAACACUGAGGCGUGACGACGAGGCACUACGGUGCUGAAGCAACAAAUGCCCUGCUUCCAGGAAAAGCCUCUAAGCAUCAGGUAACAUCAAAUCGUACCCCAAACCGACACAGGUGGUCAGGUAGAGAAUACCAAGGCGCUUGAGAGAACUCGGGUGAAGGAACUAGGCAAAAUGGUGCCGUAACUUCGGGAGAAGGCACGCUGACACGUAGGUGAAGUGAUUUACUCAUGGAGCUGAAGUCAGUCGAAGAUACCAGCUGGCUGCAACUGUUUAUUAAAAACACAGCACUGUGCAAACACGAAAGUGGACGUAUACGGUGUGACGCCUGCCCGGUGCCGGAAGGUUAAUUGAUGGGGUCAGCGCAAGCGAAGCUCCUGAUCGAAGCCCCGGUAAACGGCGGCCGUAACUAUAACGGUCCUAAGGUAGCGAAAUUCCUUGUCGGGUAAGUUCCGACCUGCACGAAUGGCGUAAUGAUGGCCAGGCUGUCUCCACCCGAGACUCAGUGAAAUUGAACUCGCUGUGAAGAUGCAGUGUACCCGCGGCAAGACGGAAAGACCCCGUGAACCUUUACUAUAGCUUGACACUGAACAUUGAGCCUUGAUGUGUAGGAUAGGUGGGAGGCUUUGAAGUGUGGACGCCAGUCUGCAUGGAGCCGACCUUGAAAUACCACCCUUUAAUGUUUGAUGUUCUAACGUGGACCCGUUACCCGGGUUGCGGACAGUGUCUGGUGGGUAGUUUGACUGGGGCGGUCUCCUCCUAAAGAGUAACGGAGGAGCACGAAGGUUGGCUAAUCCUGGUCGGACAUCAGGAGGUUAGUGCAAUGGCAUAAGCCAGCUUGACUGCGAGCGUGACGGCGCGAGCAGGUGCGAAAGCAGGUCAUAGUGAUCCGGUGGUUCUGAAUGGAAGGGCCAUCGCUCAACGGAUAAAAGGUACUCCGGGGAUAACAGGCUGAUACCGCCCAAGAGUUCAUAUCGACGGCGGUGUUUGGCACCUCGAUGUCGGCUCAUCACAUCCUGGGGCUGAAGUAGGUCCCAAGGGUAUGGCUGUUCGCCAUUUAAAGUGGUACGCGAGCUGGGUUUAGAACGUCGUGAGACAGUUCGGUCCCUAUCUGCCGUGGGCGCUGGAGAACUGAGGGGGGCUGCUCCUAGUACGAGAGGACCGGAGUGGACGCAUCACUGGUGUUCGGGUUGUCAUGCCAAUGGCACUGCCCGGUAGCUAAAUGCGGAAGAGAUAAGUGCUGAAAGCAUCUAAGCACGAAACUUGCCCCGAGAUGAGUUCUCCCUGAGACUUAGAGUCUCCUGAAGGAACGUUGAAGACGACGACGUUGAUAGGCCGGGUGUGUAAGCGCAGCGAUGCGUUGAGCUAACCGGUACUAAUGAACCGUGAGGCUUAACC